ACACGACUACAUUAGAUACCCGGGUAGUCCCAGCCCUAAACGAUGCGCGUUAGGUGUAUCGGUGACCACGAGUCACCGAGGUGCCGAAGGGAAACCGUGAAACGUGCCGCCUGGGAAGUACGGUCGCAAGGCUGGAACUUAAAGGAAUUGGCGGGGGAGCACCACAAGAGGUGGAGGCUGCGGUUCAAUUGGACUCAACGCCGGAAAACUCAUCGGGAGCGACAGCAGUAUGAUUGCCAGGUUGAUGACCUUGCUUGACAAGCUG
rnacentral:rRNA from 1 species